CAGUCGCCGCGGUACUACGUAGGGUGCAAGCGUUAAUCGGAAUUACUGGGCGUAAAGCGUGCGCAGGCGGCUAUGCAAGACAGAUGUGAAAUCCCCGGGCUCAACCUGGGCACUGCAUUUGUGACUGCAUGGCUAGAGUACGGUAGAGGGGGAUGGAACUCCGCGUGUAGCAGUGAAAUGCGUAGAUAUGCGGAGGAACACCGAUGGCGAAGGCAAUCCCCUGGACCUGUACUGACGCUCAUGCACGAAAGCGUGGGGAGCGAACAGGAUUAGAUACCCGAGUAGUCCCUGUCUCUUAUAA
rnacentral:rRNA from 1 species